GAUGAACGCUGGCGGCGUGCUUAAUACAUGCAAGUCGAACGGAAAGGCCCUGCUUUUGUGGGGUGCUUGAGUGGCGAACGGGUGAGUAACACGCGAGUAAACUGCCCUUGACUUUGGGAUAACUUUUGGAAACUGGGGCUAAUACCGGAUAGGAGCUCCUGCUGCAUGGUGGGGGUUGGAAAGAUUCGGCGGUUCGGGAUAGACUCGCGGCUUACCAGCUUGUUGGUGGGGUAGUGGCUUACCAAGGGUUUGACGGGUAGCCGGCCUGAGAGGGUGACCGGGCACAAUGGGACUAAGAUACGGCCCAGACUCCUACGUGAGGCAGCGGUGGAGAAUAUUGCACAGUGGGGGGAAGCCUGAUGCAGCAACGCCGGGUGCGGGAUAACGUGCUUCGAGUUGUAAACCGAUUUCGCCUGUGACGAAGAGUGAGUGACGGUAAUGAGUAAGGAAGCACCGGCUAACUACGUG
rnacentral:rRNA from 1 species